rnacentral:rRNA from 1 species
UACGGAGGAUCCAAGCGUUAUCCGGAUUUAUUGGGUUUAAAGGGUGCGUAGGCGGCCUGUUAAGUCAGGGGUGAAAGACGGUAGCUUAACUAUCGCAGUGCCUUUGAUACUGAUGGGCUUGAAUGAACUAGAGGUAGGCGGAAAUGUGACAAGUAGCGUGAAAUGCAUAGAUAUGUCACAGAACACCAAUUGCGAAGGCAGCUUACUAUGGUUUUAUUGACGCUGAGGCACGAAAGCGUGGGAUCAAACAGG